rnacentral:rRNA from 1 species
GACGAACGCUGGCGGCGUGCUUAACACAUGCCAGUCGAACGGAAAGGCCCUGCUUUUGUGGGGUGCUCGAGUGGCGAACGGGUGAGUAACACGUGAGUAACUUGCCCUUGACUUUGGGAUAACUUCAGGAAACUGGGGCUAAUACCGGAUAGGAGCUCCUGCUGCAUGGUGGGGGUUGGAAAGUUUCGGCGGUUGGGGAUGGACUCGCGGCUUAUCAGCUUGUUGGUGGGGUAGUGGCUUACCAAGGCUUUGACGGGUAGCCGGCCUGAGAGGGUGACCGGCCACAUUGGGACUGAGAUACGGCCCAGACUCCUACGGGAGGCAGCAGUGGGGAAUAUUGCACAAUGGGCGGAAGCCUGAUGCAGCAACGCCGCGUGCGGGAUGACGGCCUUCGGGUGGGAAACCGCUUUCGCCUGUGACGAAGCGUGAGUGACGGUAAUGGGUAAAGAAGCACCGGCUAACUACGU